rnacentral:rRNA from 1 species
CCUUGCGGAAGGAAUCAUUUAAUGAGUUAGGGGGCCCUAGCCCCCC